rnacentral:lncRNA from 1 species
UUUGAGGGGAGAAGUACAGAGUGGGGAGUUUGUCCACCGUGCACAAAGUGUUCUGAGCAGAAUCAGCAAGUGGCAUAUUCAGACCAGAGCCUCAGGGCAUGUGUCCUGUGGCCUCCCCAGAACUCAAGGUGAGAGAGCUGACACUCCAGAGGUAAGAGUAUUCUCUCAGAAAAGAGCCAUGCAGACUCUGGUCCAGGGAUUUGUUUCUGGACAUUUUAAGGAGGCUGGGAGGGGACCCUGGAGGAAGGAGGCUAUGGUGGGGACCUCAGGAAGUGCCUCAAGUCCAAGAGUUCUGAGGUUCAUUUGGUAUAAUGGCUCAGCAUUUGUCUCACUGGAGUGUUUUUUGUUUUUUUUUUAAUAUUUGACUCAAAAGCACACAAAAGGCCUAAUGUAGAAAAUCAAGCCCCAUUAUCACCCAAAUGUGCAUUUUGUAAAACAAAUGAGAAGUGGGGGGAGAAUAAAGACUCUUUAAAGUACAAAUAAAA